CAAGAUUACCAGCCCCUCGUCUCCACUCUGGACGCCCACGUUACUCCGGUAACCCUUGACCAGCUCUUUGCCAUGCUUAGUAACUUUGAUCAGCGCAUGGCGCAGUACCAUGGCUCCGGUGGUGGCUUCAAGUCGUCGGCCAACUUUGCCUUCAGAGGCCGCAGCGGCGGCCCUUGUUCGCGUUCCUAUUCUCGUGGCAAGGGGAGGUUCGGAUACGGCGGUGGUGGCUACUCCAACAACCCUCGCGGCGGCGGAUGCUCCGGCAGCUCCAAAGGACGUCGCGGUGGCGGCGGUGGUGGCUCCAACAGAUCUCAUUCGGACUUUCCUCGCUGUUAA
rnacentral:rRNA from 1 species